AUUCACUCUGCUGGAGUUUCCUGAGCAAGCCCAGGGUAUGGCCUGCUAUCUGACUGGAUGGAGAGAUGCUGUCUUGGAGAUAAUCAUGCUUAAAAGAUGCUGUGAAAGUUGUAACUGAUCAAGAAGGAAGACAUUGAAGGUGACCUGACUGAGGCAAGAGUUUCCAGCUUUACCUGCCUCACUGGGCUCACAUCUACUGUUUGCUCUCCAAACAUCAGGUGACAGUUGGAGUAAAAGUCAACUAGAAUAAUUGCUUUUAAACAUUCACUCUAUCCUCAUAUCAUUUCCACCAACUUAUUAAGCAUUUGAACAUAGAUGAACUUGCUAGGUGGAAUGGUUGUGAAUCCUGUAAGAAAUUACCAUCUGAGAGAAGUUUGACUUGAGAAAUGAUUGAUUCUACAAGUCUCCUCUAUCCAGGUAACUGACCAACUGCUGCCAUGAUUAGUGCAUUCUCUUGUCUCCUGUGAGAUCUCUAUUGUUUGUCACCUUCACAUGCACAAACACAGGCAGAUAUUUGUACACAAAAAUACACUCCCACAAAAUGCAGAGAAAUUCUUAUUCAAGAUUAAUUCAUUUUAGUCCAAAUGACAAGUAAUUUUUAUAAUGUUUUUUGUCUUUUUGGUAUCAUUUUCUCUUUCAAGGCACUUGCUGUAUAAUCAGCCAACUACUCUGUAAUUAUGUUGCAAAGACUAUGUAAAUACCUAAUUAUUUUCAUGCAGAUUACUUGAUAAUUAUACUACCAGUUACAAAGUAAUUCAAAGAAUAAUUACCAUGUAACUUCCACUUUUUAGAUGUGAAGAUAAGGCUUUGUUUUAAAGAUAUAGAGAAGUGCAUAAUUAUCCUGGGGUUACAUUCUACAGAGAUGGUUGAUUAUCCUAUAUUUACAGUAUUAUUAUAUGGCUACUGGGCUCACUACCAUGUUAUCACAAUUUGAAAAAACCAGCAGAACACCUCUGCUCUCUGCUUUGUCAUAAGUAUUAUACAAUGCUAAUGUUAACAUUUUCAUACUUUCUUGUUGAAAUGGAUUUGACUUUUUUGAAUGUGAAGAAAAUUCUUUUUUUAA